rnacentral:rRNA from 1 species
GAUCCUGGGCUCAGGAUGAACGCUAGCUACAGGCUUAACACAUGCAAGUCGAGGGGCAGCAUGGUCUUAGCUUGCUAAGGCCGAUGGCGACCGGCGCACGGGUGAGUAACACGUAUCCAACCUGCCGUCUACUCUUGGACAGCCUUCUGAAAGGAAGAUUAAUACAAGAUGGCAUCAUGAGUCCGCAUGUUCACAUGAUUAAAGGUAUUCCGGUAGACGAUGGGGA